AAAUAAAAUUGUUGAAUGUUCGAAGGAAUGGUGGACUGAACACCUUGCUGUAAGAACUUGAUGCAACAAUUCUUUAAAAGGAAUUAAAUGCAACCAUGUGAGGUUCAGGAAACAAGGAUCGAAGCACCUUGAUGAUUUGCAUAUAUUUUUUAAUAAGACACAUGUUAAUGCUAGCGGGGUUAGUGUAUUAUGUCGUGAUGAUGUUUCCUCCGAUGAGUCGUGUGAUGAGGAUAUGGAUGAGGUCCAAAAAUCAGUAGAUAAUGAUGAAGUCAAGUUGGCUGUAUUGAAGAAAUCAAAACAAGAAAAAAAGAAACGAAAGGACAGCUCUACUGCUACUAAAAAGAAGGACGAGAAGAGCUUAUUCUUUCGACUGUACACGAACACAUGUUUGAAGAUAGAAACAGCAGCAAAGAAGAUCUCGUCAAGUGUUGAAGCAUCGUCAACUCCUCCAACCAACCAAGUUCCUACCACUAAAGAGGCAACGCAAAUGGUCAAAGAUUGUAUGGUGCAAGAGAAAACUGCUCUAAUGCACAGAGUUUAAUGAUCAUUUUCCAUAUAAA